rnacentral:misc_RNA from 1 species
GCUUGCUCGACUCUCCUGCCUGAGCGCAGCGGAACAGGCUCGUAACACUGUGGGGGUGCGCUCCUGCCCGCUCUCACGCACACCCUUCACGCCUCAUACAGACGCGGAUGCGCUCCUGUCACGACACACAGUGGCCAACAUAACGGCAAAGCACGCAUUCAUGUUUGGUGAGCUCAUAUGCGGCCCGCCAGGGAGCGGCAAGACGACGUACUGCGAGGGCAAGCGGCAGUUCCUGAGCGUCUACGACCCAACUCGACCAGUCGUCAUGCUGAACCUCGACCCCGCUAACGAGGACAUCUUCCCAUACCCGUGCGAUGUCGACAUCCGCGAGCUUGUCGACCACGCCACCGUUAUGCAGGAGGAGGGGCUGGGCCCCAACGGCACAUACUUGUUCUGCGCUGCAGUGAUGCAGGCGAACGUGGACUGGGUCCUCGCCAAGGUGGAGGAGGCGGUGGAGCGACGCGUGCAGGAGGUUUUGGCGACGGAGAUGACCGCAGCCGGCGCAAAGACGUUAAGAGCACCAUACCUUCUCAUCGACUGCCCUGGGCAGGUAGAGUUCUACGUCGACGCGCAAGUCAUGCCGACCCUCACUCAUGCUCUGGCGAAGAGGCUGCAGUGUAGCUUGUGUACGGUGCACCUUGUCGACGCUGGCAUUGCGACGCGCGACCUGCCGACGUACGUCUCCUCGUGCGUGCUGUCACUAACGACGAUGAUCGAUCAUGAGCUGCCACACGUAAACGUGUUGAGUAAAUGGGACACGCUGCCGGCCGAGGUACUGGAGGACACCGGCGAUGAUGGCGCGACCUACCUCAACGCGUCCGCCAUGCUCUCCGAGAACAUGGAUCGGCUGUGGCGGCGGCAACUGCAGCGCCGCCGUCAUGAACAUCGCAUGGCGCAGCACUUCGUGACCGCUGCGCAGCCGGCACCUCAGUUGACGCCAGAGGAGCGCGCCGAGGAUGCGCAGCUGACAACGAUUGAUCUCCCGAAGCACGGAGGCCGCGUGUACCGCUACACCCGGCUAUUGAUGGACGUGGUCGAGGGCUACGGGCUUGUCGGCUACGUACCGCUGGACGUGCAAAACCAGGAGAUGAUGCUGCGCCUCACGCAAGAGGUGGACAACGCGAUCGGUAACUUCUUCUGAGGCGAAUACGGUUCUCCACUACUACGUGGUGAAACGUGAGGCAGUGAGGGAAGUGAUAGAGGGGGACUAUGGUCGACGCUGAUGCCGGCAUGUGGCGUGCAGCACGACCGCAUGCACGCCCAUCUACGCGGCCCUCAUUUCCGUCCCUUCUCGCCCCUUUUGCUCCACUUCCAUGACCUCGGCGCGGCGAAUACGCUCCUUCGUUUCUUUUCUCGGUCUCCUCCGCUUACUGUAAUGAAGGCGAGAACACCGCUUCGCGUGUGUGGUAUAAACAGGGUCCGGUGCUCGCACUCUCUGUCCGGGAGAAGCCAGUCGACCACCCAGCCCCUGCCCCUCUCCCUGCCGAUGCCGAGCCCCUCCCCCCCCUCCCUGCUGGUGGUGUCAGGGGGAGGCACCCACCUAGGUAGGGAUGCCAGAGCGAUGUGUGGCUGCUGAUGUCGGUGGUCGUGUCCUGGGGCGGCGUUGCGUCGGCGCGACCCGCGACCGUGGGCACGUCUGUGGCAUCCAUAUGAGAAUAGGCAAAGCAUCAGGGUGACUCGAAGGUACCUCACCCCUACCCCCGACCCACACACGCCCCACACCGGUGUGGGGAGGCUGAGCCACCGCGAGGGGGGGGCGGGGAGGGAUGCGCGAGGUGGCGACUGGGCAUCACGUGAGCGGCUGCGAGGCGACCUGCGGGGGCCGAGGUGUGAGUGGGCAGAGUAUGAGGCCGAGGCGGUGCUUCGAUGAUCGGGCCGGCGCGCUGGUGUACCGCGCGUGUGUCUACGGCUGCAUGGGCACCACACAGGGGACGGGUCUGUGAAGGUCCAGGGCUGGAGUGGCGCGGGGAGGGGGGCCGUUCGAGUCGCGUUGAAUGGCACCGGGUGGACUCGGUGGGGAGACAAACGCUCUUCAGACGCGUCGAGAGGCAGACAUACAACUCCACGUCCUCCCUCCCCUCCCUUCCUCUCCCCUUGUUCGCGAGCUGACGUGCAGAUCUGGUUGCAGACCCACGCGAAGAACGUUGUGCGCGGGUGGUGCUGUUGAUUCGACCACACAAGCGCAUGCCUGCGGCGCACCGGCCCUCUCAUGUGACUUUGUCUGCGUAUCAGUGCGUGUUGGGUGUGCGCCACGGAGAUCCAUAACAUCGCCUGACUGCUUUCACCCACCCCCU